rnacentral:rRNA from 1 species
UACGUAGGGUGCGAGCGUUAAUCGGAAUUACUGGGCGUAAAGCGUGCGCAGGCGGUGCACCAAGCUCGAUGUGAAAGCCCCGGGCUUAACCUGGGAAUUGCAUUGAGGACUGGUGUGCUCGAGUGCGGCAGAGGGGGGUGGAAUUCCACGUGUAGCAGUGAAAUGCGUAGAGAUGUGGAGGAACACCGAUGGCGAAGGCAGCCUCCUGGGCCGACACUGACGCUGAGGGCACGAAAGCGUGGGGAGCAAACAGG